rnacentral:rRNA from 1 species
GAUGAACGCUAGCUACAGGCUUAACACAUGCAAGUCGAGGGGAAACGAUAUUGGAAGCUUGCUUCCGAUAGGCGUCGACCGGCGCACGGGUGAGUAACGCGUAUCCAACCUGCCCACCACUUGGGGAUAACCUUGCGAAAGUAAGACUAAUACCCAAUGACGUCUCUAGAAGACAUCUGAAAGAGAUUAAAGAUCUAUCGGUGAUGGAUGGGGAUGCGUCUGAUUAGCUUGUUGGCGGGGUAACGGCCCACCAAGGCUACGAGCAGUAGGGGUUCUGAGAGGAAGGUCCCCCACAUUGGAACUGAGACACGGUCCAAACUCCUACGGGAGGCAGCAGUGAGGAAUAUUGGUCAAUGGGCGAGAGCCUGAACCAGCCAAGUAGCGUGCAGGAUGACGGCCCUAUGGGUUGUAAACUGCUUUUAUAAGGGAAUAAGGUGAGUCUCGUGAGACUUUUUGCAUGUACCUUAUGAAUAAGGACCGGCUAAUUCCGUGCCAGCCGCCGCAGUAA